rnacentral:rRNA from 1 species
CCUACGGGUGGCAGCAGUGGGGAAUAUUGCACAAUGGGCGGAAGCCUGAUGCAGCGACGCCGCGUGAGGGAUGACGGCCUUCGGGUUGUAAACCUCUUUCAGCAGGGACGAAGCGUAAGUGACGGUACCUGCAGAAGAAGCGCCGGCCAACUACGUGCCAGCAGCCGCGGUAAGACGUAGGGCGCGAGCGUUGUCCGGAUUUAUUGGGCGUAAAGAGCUCGUAGGCGGCUUGUCGCGUCGACUGUGAAAACCCGCAGCUCAACUGCGGGCCUGCAGUCGAUACGGGCAGGCUAGAGUUCGGUAGGGGAGACUGGAAUUCCUGGUGUAGCGGUGAAAUGCGCAGAUAUCAGGAGGAACACCGGUGGCGAAGGCGGGUCUCUGGGCCGAUACUGACGCUGAGGAGCGAAAGCGUGGGGAGCGAACAGGAUUAGAUACCCCUGUAGUCAGU